GCCAUAUUUGAUUUUUAAGUGAGCUAUCUUUAUUAGUCAACAUAUGGUCAUAGCUUUCAAAGGGGAGAGUCAUUGGAUUCACAGCAUGUAGUGUGGGUCUCUGGUCUGCUGUAAGAGGUCAUCACCAAGUCUUGCAGUCUCAGGCCUGCAACCUGCAUUCUGUUGUCUUUGUGGCUGGAGUGGGCAGAAACUAUGGGAAGUGCCUCAGAAAAAGGGGCUGGCAGGCAAAGACAUCCCAGUCUGAGGUCAAGAAAUGGAAGACAAGUUCUUCACACAACAAUCACUGGCAGAGCUGCAGCAGUCCAGGACAAGAACCCUUGAGGUGCUUUCCCAGCAAUCUAGGGGCCAGCAGAACAGGAAAAACCAGGGUUGCUUGGUGUGAGAUGCCAACCAUUUCAUGACCAGAAAAGGGAGAGACAGAACGAAACUCUGCAUUUGCAUGAAGCAUCUAGAGAAAAACCCCACUGGAGGAAAUGAUGCUGCAGCCACCAAAAGCUCUGUCCCAUGGAGAAGGUGUACAAAGAAGCCAGGAUCCUCAGAGCUUGCUGUGCACUCUAGAAUCAGUGGCAGGAGGAAGGUGAGCUUGGAGGACACUGGGUACAUUUGGAGACCUUCAAGGCUACUGCAGGGAUCAAGGAAUUAA
rnacentral:lncRNA from 1 species